UAUACGAUGAAGAGUUUGAUCCUGGCUCAGGAUGAACGCUAGCGGCAGGCUUAACACAUGCAAGUCGAGGGGUAGAAGAAGCUUGCUUCUUUGAGACCGGCGCACGGGUGCGUAACGCGUAUGCAAUCUACCUUUCACAAAGGG
rnacentral:rRNA from 1 species